AUUCGCGGCCUAUCAGCUUGUUGGUGUGGUAACAGCUCACCAAGGCGACGACGGGUAGCUGGUCUGAGAGGACGACCAGCCACACUGGGACUGAGACACGGCCCAGACUCCUACGGGAGGCAGCAGUAGGGAAUCUUGCGCAAUGGGGGAAACCCUGAUGCAGCGACGCCGCGUGCGGGAUGAAGGCCUUCGGGUCGUAAACCGCUUUCAGCAGGGACGAAAUUGACGGUACCUGCAGAAGAAGGCCCGGCCAACUACGUGCCAGCAGCCGCGGUAAUACGUAGGGGCCUAGCGUUGUCCGGAUUUAUUGGGCGUAAAGAGCUCGUAGGCGGUUUGGUUAGUCGGGUGUGAAAUCUCCAUGCUCAACGUGGAGGGGCCACCCGAUACUGCCAUGACUGGAGUCCGGUAGAGGAGUGUGGAAUUCCCGGUGUAGCGGUGAAAUGCGCAGAGAUCGGGAGGAACACCCGUAGCGAAGGCGGCACUCUGGGCCGGUACUGACGCUGAGGAGCGAAAGCGUGGGGAGCGAACAGGAUUAGAUACCCUGGUAGUCCACGCUGUAAACGUUGGGCACUAGGUGUGGGACUCUAUCGAUGGGUUCCGUGCCGCAGCUAACGCAUUAAGUGCCCCGCC
rnacentral:rRNA from 1 species